rnacentral:rRNA from 1 species
UACGUAGGGGGCGAGCGUUGUCCGGAUUUAUUGGGCGUAAAGAGCGUGUAGGCGGCCAGGUAGGUCCGUUGUGAAAACUCGAGGCUCAACCUCGAGACGUCGAUGGAAACCAUCUGGCUAGAGUCCGGAAGAGGAGAGUGGAAUUCCUGGUGUAGCGGUGAAAUGCGCAGAUAUCAGGAAGAACACCCGUGGCGAAGGCGGCUCACUGGUCCGGUACUGACGCUGAGGUGCGAAAGCGUGGGGAGCAAACAGG